rnacentral:lncRNA from 1 species
UUCCAAUAUAUUUCAUCAUGAAAAAACAAAUUAACAAAAAAAAUCAAAUUAACCCUUUCUCGUUUUCCAGAAAUCUCGUCGCCGCUUACCCAUAAAUCUUCUCUUCACCGUCAAACUUCACCUUCAUCAAACUCGAACCCUUCAUCUUCAUCUUCUUCACUGCUCAAACCCUCCAAUUGUAUGAUUCUUUGUGCUUUCUGACAGAUUUAACUCCAAUAGGAGAAAUAGGUUAUCAUUUUAACUUUUAUUUCUCACUUUUUAAGCUUACAUUUCAAACUUCUGAGAAACUAAGGUUUCUGAACAAUCCUUACUCACAAGUAUUUUCUCUCUCUGCUGAAGAGCAAUUGAAGAGCACUAAUAAACUAUAGGCAGUUUAGAAUUCAAGGAUUAGAGACAACCACGUUAAGGUAUCUCGUUUUUUUUUAUUUUUAUAUUAGCUUUGUAUGAUAAACAGCUUAAUUGAUAUGUUAUUUACUUCUACUUGUACAAUUGUAUACAAAUUAGCUAUGUAUGAUUUUAUAAUAUGAUUAUAUGAUACCUUGCUUCUAGAGUUUUGUGAUUUUUUAUAUGGAUAAUGCUACCUUGUCUCUACUAAAUUGGGGCUGGUCGUCCUUUUAUAAUGUGAGAUAUUUAGUUUUGUAUAUUGUGUUUCAGUUAUAUGGACAUGUACUUAAGUAAGCACUAGGACUGUGUUUGUAUUCUCUUUUUUUUUUUAAUUUUAUAAUGCGUGUUUGUUUGUAGUCUCUUUGUAAAUGAAGGUUUUGUAAUUAUAGAUUUAUAGUUAUUACUUCAUUAAUUAGCAUAUAAAUGGUGGUUGAUUGUUUGGGUUUUUAUUCUGACUAUAACUAGGAUUGGCUAUUAUGUUUUAAGGUUGCAGCUUACUAUACUACAAUGGUCUGAUCCUCUACUAUAACUAGGAUUUACUAUUAUAAGUGUAUUNNNNNNNUCUUGCUUUAUUGCUGCAGAAAAACUUCUAUCAGAAAGCAGGAAGACCUGCUUGAGCUUUUGACUUGCAGCGCUCCGGUAAUAAUGUUUGUUCCCUCAUAUUUUAAUGAUUUCUAUUCUUAUUCAUCCCUGUUCUAUGUUAUGAGACUCAUGACAUCGUCUCUUUCAAGUUUAUGACUUAUGUUACUUUUAGCGGAUCUUAUUUAUUGCAAUAUUUUGUAGUUUAAUGUUCUUUGGGUGUUUAAUUUUUCAUUUUAUCAACUACAGUACAUAUAUACACUAAGAAACAAAAUGUAUUGUAGUGUAGUUUAAUGUUCUUUUUACAUUUUAUUCACUAAGCACUUAUUCAGCGGUUAUAAUUACCAAAUCAAGAUUGAAUAUUUUUUUUUAUCUUAUUUUUUGUGUUUAUUUGCUUUGAACUGUUAAUAAUGUUUGAAUUAUAUCUCUGGUGAUUUUAGGUUCGGCUUUACAAGCUGCUUAUAAAGUUGAUUGGUAUGUUCUCUAUAUAGUGUGCAAUAUGUCACAAUCUACGGAAGUUGUUCAUGAGGUAAUUUUCCCCCGCUCCUAAGUAUUGUUGUCUCUUUUUAUGUAAACCUUUAUGUCACAAUCUAUUUAAAUUAGUUCACUUUUAAUGAACUUUUUCCUAAUAGUGUUGGAAGAACUUCACAUGUCCAUAUAACUGGUUUAUAUAGAAUUGAAAGAGUUUGCGACUCUGCAUCAAUAUACUUUGUUGGAACUAAAGUUUUACAUUGACAAAAGUAUUUACCGACUAGACGUUCACAUUUGAUCAUAUUCAAUUUUAGAGCCAAAAGCAACAAAUAGUUAUGAGUGCGGCUAUUAUGUCAUGAUACACAUGUUGAACAUUGUAUCN